rnacentral:rRNA from 1 species
AGAGUUUGAUCCUGGCUCAGAAUCAACGCUGGCGGCGCGCCUAACACAUGCAAGUCGAACGAGAAAGCCGGGGCAACCUGGUGAGUAAAGUGGCGUACGGGUGAGUAACACGUGGGUAAUCUACCUCCUUGUGUGGAAUAACCCUGGGAAACCGGGGCUAAUACCGCAUAAGCCCGAGAGGGGAAAGCAGCAAUGCGCUGGGAGAGGAGCCCGCGGCCGAUUAGCUAGUUGGCAGGGUAAAAGCCUACCAAGGCAAAGAUCGGUAGCCGGCCUGAGAGGGCACACGGCCACACUGGCACUGAAACACGGGCCAGACUCCUACGGGAGGCAGCAGUGGGGAAUCUUGCACAAUGGGGGAAACCCUGAUGCAGCGACGCCGCGUGAGCGAUGAAGCCCUUCGGGGUGUAAAGCUCUUUCGGCAGGGAAGAUUAUGACGGUACCUGCAGAAGCAGCUGCGGCUAACUACGUGCCAGCAGCCGCGGUAAUACGUAGGCAGCAAGCGUUGUUCGGAGUUACUGGGCGUAAAGGGUGUGUAGGCGGUUGCUUAAGUUUGGUGUGAAAUCUCCCGGCUCAACUGGGAGGGUGCGCCGAAUACUGAGUGACUAGAGUGCGGGAGAGGAAAGUGGAAUUCCUGGUGUAGCGGUGAAAUGCGUAGAUAUCAGGAGGAACACCGGUGGUGUAGACGGCUUUCUGGACCGUAACUGACGCUGAGACACGAAGGCGUGGGUAGCAAACAGGAUUAGAUACCCUGGUAGUCCACGCCCUAAACGAUGCAUAUUUGGUGUGGGUCAUUCAGUUGAUCCGUGCCGGAGCUAACGCGUUAAAUAUGCCGCCUGGGGAGUACAGUCGCAAGGCUGAAACUCAAAUGAAUUGACGG